rnacentral:misc_RNA from 1 species
GGUGAAGAACGUAGCGAAAUGCGAUAAGUAAUGUGAAUUGCAGAAUUCAGUGAAUCAUCGAAUCUUUGAACGCACAUUGCGCCCGCCAGUAUUCUGGCGGGCAUGCCUGUUCGAGCGUCAUUUCAACCAUCAAGCCCCAGGCUUGUGUUGGGGACCUGCGGCUGCCGCAGGCCCUGAAAACCAGUGGCGGGCUCGCUGUCACACCGGGCGUAGUAGAUUUUAUCUCGCUCAGGGCGUGCUGCGGGUUCCGGCCGUUAAAAAGCCUUUUUUACCCAAGGUUGACCUCGGAUCAGGUAGGAAGACCCGCUGAACUUAAGCAUAUCAAUAAGCGGAGGA